rnacentral:rRNA from 1 species
AUGGUAUAUGUUUAUCAGUAUAGGAUGUCUGCUUUUCGUGCUUUAAUUAAAAACUGCGGCUUCUUUGACAUUGGCUAUAAUAGUCCGGCGUACAGUUGGCGCAAUAGGCAACACAAUGCAAAUCCUAUUUAUCAACGUUUGGAUCGAUGUUUGGUUAAUCCUGAUUGGUGUGCUUGCUAUCCAAACACGAAAGUGCUUAAUUUACCUAUCAUUCUUAGUGAUCACGUGCCUAUCUUGAUCUCUACUGAUGGUCGAUUUGCUAAGCCAAAGCAAUUGUUGAAGUUUGAGAAUUGGUGGUUAUUGGAGAAAGAUUUUCAUGCCCAUGCAAAGGCAGCCUGGAACAACACCAGGAAUACCUCUUUUUCUGCCAAGUCUUCAUCUCUUGCAGGUUCGUUGAAGAGAUGGUGCAAAAAGAAGAAGCCUAUUCAACAGGAAUUACAUGAAUUGGAAGAGCAAAUCAAGCGGAUUCAAUUGCAGCCACCCCAUAUCUAG